rnacentral:rRNA from 1 species
GACGAACGCUGGCGGCGUGCCUAAUACAUGCAAGUAGAACGCACAGUUUAUACCGUAGCUUGCUACACCAUAAACUGUGAGUUGCGAACGGGUGAGUAACGCGUAGGUAACCUGCCUGGUAGCGGGGGAUAACUAUUGGAAACGAUAGCUAAUACCGCAUAAUAUUGAUUAUUGCAUGAUAAUUGAUUGAAAGAUGCUAUUGCAUCACUACCAGAUGGACCUGCGUUGUAUUAGCUAGUAGGUGAGGUAACGGCUCACCUAGGCGACGAUACAUAGCCGACCUGGGAGGGUGAUCGGCCACACUGGGACUGAGACACGGCCCAGACUCCUACGGGAGGCAGCAGUAGGGAAUCUUCGGCAAUGGACGAAAGGCUGACCGAGCAACGCCGCGUGAGGGAAGAAGGUUUUCGGAUCGUAAAGCUCUGUUGUAAGAGAAGAACGGGUGUGAGAGUGGAAAGUUCACACUGUGACGGUAUCUUACCAGAAAGGGACGGCUAACUACGUG